CCCAACCAAAAUGAAUGCUGAACAGUGGCCUUGACUGACAGAAUGGAGGGCAGGGGAUAUCAAGUGUCAUGCUCAGUAAGCAUUAACAAAGUCACAGAGUCAGUAUUUGUUAGCAAAAACACAACCAGCUAGCACAUGAGGACACACACCAGCCACAGCAAGCCACCUGGGGGAGGAAGCAUUUUACAUUCUGAUACUAAUUAACAUUAGAGGCUAAAGAGCAUUACAUGCUCUUUAGAUACCGGCUGACUUCUUCCAGCUGCCUGGACCCUUUCUACAAAUGUUUUUUAAAACUAAAUAUCAGAAACAAUAAAAUGAAUGUGCUAAAUCUGACCUGUUCUUUGAUCAUUUACAAUUAGAUAUUGAAGAUAACUUUCUUAAAACUCUCACAGAGGGUCAACCACUUUCCUAAGGGG